rnacentral:lncRNA from 1 species
UUUUUCCUCCAUUGUUGCCAUUGCCUAAACCUCCCUUUUUACCAUCUUUUUCUUCUUCUUUUUGUAUCAAGAUUGUGCACCAUCUCCUUUAUUAUACUGCUUCAAUUUUUCCCCAAAUAAAUCAGCCCUAAAUCUGAAAUAUUGAACUCCAAAACUGAUCCCAAACAUUGCCAAGAAGGUGUCAUUGUUGUUUCUCUCAACUAGCUUGGGUAAG